UACGUAGGGGCUAGCGUUGUCCGGAAUCAUUGGGCGUAAAGAGCGUGUAGGCGGCCCGGUAAGUCCGCUGUGAAAGUCGGGGGCUCAACCCUCGAAUGCCGGUGGAUACUGUCGGGCUAGAGUGCGGAAGAGGCGAGUGGAAUUCCUGGUGUAGCGGUGAAAUGCGCAGAUAUCAGGAGGAACACCAAUUGCGAAGGCAGCUCGCUGGGACGUAACUGACGCUGAGACGCGAAAGCGUGGGGAGCAAACAGG
rnacentral:rRNA from 1 species